rnacentral:rRNA from 1 species
AUACGUAGGGGGCUAGCGUUAUCCGGAUUUACUGGGCGUAAAGGGUGCGUAGGCGGUUCUUUAAGUUGGAUGUGAAAUACCCGGGCUUAACCUGGGGGUGCAUUCAAAACUGGGGAACUAGAGUUCAGGAGAGGGAAGCGGAAUUCCUAGUGUAGCGGUGAAAUGCGUAGAGAUUAGGAAGAACACCGGUGGCGAAGGCGACUUUCUGGACUGUAACUGACGCUGAGGCUCG